AGUAGGUUCUAGUUUCCUAAAACCCUCUAUAGUGACCAUGGAGUAGGUUCUAGCUUCCUAAACCCCUCUAUAGUGACCAUGGAGUAGGUUCUAGCUUCUUAAACCCUCUAUAGUGACCAUGGAGUAGGUUCUAGCUUCUUAAAUCCUCUAUAGUGACCAUGGAGUAGGUUCUAGCUUCCUAAAACCCUCUAUAGUGACCAUGGAGUAGGUUCUAGCUUCUUAAACCCUCUAUAGUGACCAUGGAGUAUGUUCUAGUUUCCUAAAACCCUCUAUAGUGACCAUGGAGUAGGUUCUAGCUUCUUAAACCCUCUAUAGUGACCAUGGAGUAGAUUCUAGCUUCCUAAAACCCUCUAUAGUGACCAUAGAGUAGGUUCUAGCUUCCUAAACCCUCUAUAGUGACCAUGGAGUAGGUUCUAGCUUCUUAAACCCUCUAUAGUGACCAUGGAGUAGGUUCUAGCUUCUUAAACCCUCUAUAGUGACCAUGGAGUAGGUUCUAGCUUCCUAAAACCCUCUAUAGUGACCAUGGAGUAGGUUCUAGCUUCCUAAACCCUCUAUAGUGACCAUGGAGUAGGUUCUAGCUUCUUAAACCCUCUAUAGUGACCAUGGAGUAGGUUCUAGCUUCCUAAAACCCUCUAUAGUGACCAUGGAGUAGGUUCUAGCUUCUUAAACCCUCUAUAGUGACCAUGGAGUAGGUUCUAGCUUCCUAAAACCCUCUAUAGUGACCAUGGAGUAGGUUCUAGCUUCCUAAAACCCUCUAUAGUGACCAUGGAGUAGGUUCUAGCUUCCUAAAACCCUCUAUAGUGACCAUGGAGUAGGUUCUAGCUUCCUAAAAC